GUUGACUUAGGAUGCAACUCUAGAAGCUCUGAACCAUCCUAGUUUCUUUCGAAUACCCAGAAACUGAGAAGUAAACUUGGAGAAAGAAGACCCAGAAGAAGAAGAAGUAUUAACCGUUGCAGGAAGGAUAAGUUGAACAGUACAGGGGAAUGGACGCCAUUAAAGUUUCUAGAAGAAACAGUUCUAAGCCUUUUCUAUCCACAUAAA